rnacentral:rRNA from 1 species
AUUGAACGCUGGCGGAAUGCUUUACACAUGCAAGUCGGGCGGCAGCGCGGGGGCAACCCUGGCGGCGAGCGGCGAACGGGUGAGUAACACAUCGGAACGUACCCUGUCGUGGGGGAUAACGAAUCGAAAGAUUCGCUAAUACCGCAUACGACCUGAGGGUGAAAGCGGGGGAUCGCAAGACCUCGCGCGAGAGGAGCGGCCGAUGGCGGAUUAGCUAGUUGGUGGGGUAAAGGCCCACCAAGGCGACGAUCCGUAGCGGGUCUGAGAGGACGGCCCGCCACACUGGGACUGAGACACGGCCCAGACUCCUACGGGAGGCAGCAGUGGGGAAUUUUGGACAAUGGGGGGCAACCCUGAUCCAGCCAUUCCGCGUGAGUGAAGAAGGCCUC